UCUCCGAACAGUUUUUCUUUCCGCAAUUUUUUAUACUCUGACAAACUAUUAAAUUUAAAUAUAAUUCGGAGAUUUCUUUCGAAAAUCUUUACCGCUCCGGGCCUGUGGUAUGUAAAUGUCAUAAUUUGCACCUCGUUCUGUUCCAAAUUCCCGAGUGUGGAGUUUGGGAGAGAUCCGAGUAUAUCUGUAACUUAAUGGGCUCGAAUGGUAACAAUUUGUUUAAUUUCCUGGCAUUAUCUGCAAAGAAAAAAAAAAUGUAGGAAUAAAGAUGACACGGGUGCUCCACCUAUUGGACUCAAAGGAAGCAAUAACUCCGACGGUGAGGCAGAAUUUAUAUUAACACUCGCGCCUUUUGAUUUUUAUGACUUCCUCCAGGAACUAACACGUGACGGAUACAGAUGUAGAAAGUCAUUUUCCGGAACGCCAACCUUCUCUUCCCCUUCUCUCAGUUUCUGCGUCUUUCAUCCACCCCCGUGACACGAUUGGGUGAAGAAAAAAAGGCCCCCGACCACUAACAAUAUGCAUUUGUUUAUCACUCCACUCUUGGUGUUUUUCCUCUAGAUAUUAAUUACUAGACACCUAAUCAAUUCACUAGCCACCCAUGGGACGCGUGUUGGCACAAAUUGUUGCUAAUUAAAUAAUGGCAUUAUUAUCAUAACUGGGAUACCUUUUUUUUUCCUAACGCGUCCGUUUAGAACCGGGACACCUCGUUGGCUGGAGCAAUAAUUUUAAAAUAUAUACGACAUUUAUCGUCAUCCCCCACCAUGCAAACUCUUCGUUAUGUUUUGGUAAUCUUUCUGUUUUCGUGACCUCCCCAUUCCCAAGAUUUUCGUCUAGACAAGUAUGUAGGGGAGAAAGAUCAUAAAUCUAGUGCCGAGAAAAUGACCUAUUUAUGCAGUUGGUGUGUGGACAUUUGCAUUUGAGUGCUGUCUCGCGUCCGUUAUUUACUGGUCCUAUAAAUCCGGUGGGAAAGUCGCGCUUAGCAUGUUUUUGCAUCAGAUAACAUCAUCUGGCAUGGUGACAGCGAUUUUCUUCCAUAUCACUUUCGUGUGCUGCCCUCUACAAGUCGUCAUUUUUUUUUCCCUUCUUCUUCUUCUUCUUCCUCCGCUUGUUCCAUAAAGUAUUCAUUACGCUCUAUUAUCCACAGAUGCUUCCGAAAUACGUUCAAUUUUGACAUAGGUCGGAUAUUUUUAAUUAAGAGACGUUAAGCGAGAAAAUAUUUGGUGGUAACUCCCGAUGUGCCAAAAUUGCCAUUUUGGGGAAUACAUUUAAGCGAGUGUAAUACGAAAU
rnacentral:lncRNA from 1 species